AGCAUUUUGGAGCAGCGGAAGCUCGUCGGGCUCAUAACCCGAAGGUCCCUGGAUCGAAACCAGGAAAUGCUA